rnacentral:rRNA from 1 species
UGGGGAAUAUUGCACAAUGGGCGAAAGCCUGAUGCAGCGACGCCGCGUGCGGGAUGAAGGCCUUCGGGUUGUAAACCGCUUUUAAUUGGGAGCAAGCGAGAGUGAGUGUACCUUUUGAAUAAGCACCGGCUAACUACGUGCCAGCAGCCGCGGUAAUACGUAGGGUGCAAGCGUUAUCCGGAAUUAUUGGGCGUAAAGAGCUCGUAGGCGGUUUGUCACGCCUGGUGUGAAAGUCCAUCGCUUAACGGUGGAUCUGCGCCGGGUACGGGCAGGCUAGAGUGCAGUA